CGUGAACAUUCCGCAACCCGGAUGCAGAGAUAUGAAGCGGCAACGCGUGACGAUCCUGUCGACCGUGCCCACGAGCCCCGGAUGACGCAGUCGUCUCUUUUUGAAGGAAGGAUUGACCGUUGAAUCGCUUCACGCGGGGACACGGUUAAUUAUCCUGGAAAGCUGCACUUUCUUCGUGCAGUAGGGUGUCCCGUGGGUGCGCAUGGAAAAGACAGGGGAGAUCUCGUUCUCUAGCAUCGGGCCGUACCGUUAACCGCAAUAGGUCUCCUAGGCUAAAAGCCUCUGGCCGACAGAAUAAUGUAGGUAAGGGAAGUCGGCAAACUGGAUCUGUAACCUCGGGAAAAGGAUUGGCUCCGAGGACACAUGUGGGAUGUCAGCGGGGACUUAUCUGGAGUUUGGUUGAUGGAGCUGUAGGUGACGGCCUCGGUUGUUGUCUGCGGCUCUUGAUUCCUUUCUAGUUAAUCCACGUGUUGUGCCUACAAGGAAGUGUCAGCUUGGAACUGUUACGAACAAGAGGAAUCCAACUGGUUAAUUAAACCACAGCAUGUCGCUUCAUCACAGCGGUGGCGAGUGGCAUGUGACUUCUGCCCAGUGCCCUGAAUGUCAACGCUGAGAGAUCAGGUCAAGCGCGGGUAAAC
rnacentral:rRNA from 1 species